rnacentral:rRNA from 1 species
UACGAAGGUCCCGAGCGUUAUCCGGAUUUAUUGGGUUUAAAGGGUGCGUAGGCGGGUUAUUAAGUCAGUGGUGAAAGCCUACAGCUUAACUGUAGAAUUGCCAUUGAUACUGAUAAUCUUGAGUAUGAUUGAGGUGGGCGGAAUGUGUCAUGUAGCGGUGAAAUGCUUAGAUAUGACACAGAACACCGAUUGCGAAGGCAGCUCACUAAGCCAUAACUGACGCUGAUGCACGAAAGCGUGGGGAGCAAACAGG